CCGGUGGGCCAGGGGCCAGACCCUGACCUGAGAAGAGGAGGAGCCUGAAUCCUGCUGCUGCCGAGAAGUUGAAAACAAAGCCAGAAGAGGUCCAUCUUCUGACCUUGAAAGUACUCCUUCCUAAGGACCCAGAAGGCCAGGUUUGAGGUCGGAGUCAUCAGAGUCCUUGGAGUUCUGCACGGGAAUGUGGCAGCGCAGGGAGAGCUGGUCUGGCACUCACACCUCCCCCCGCCCUGUCUUCCCACCUCAGCUCUGACCUGCACCUUGAGAGGCCUCAGGAGCAUGCCAGUGGGCUCUUCAGCUCACACGUUCCAGUUCCAACCACAGCCUCCCCUUGGCCGCCCUUAUGGCUAAAGGGUCCUGAGCCGUGAGGCAGAGAGGGCCGUGCCUGGCUGGCUGGAGCUUCUGGAAGCUCAUUUGGUCACUGACUGUGGUGAGGGUAUCGGCUCUUCCAGACGUGAGGUAGAGGAAAGAUAAUCUCCCAAGAACUGGGCCGGGUCGGGGCUCA
rnacentral:lncRNA from 1 species